UUAAUUGAAGCCAAAAAGAGGCAUGUCAUUGUUAAUGAUAAAACUGAAUUAUAUUCCAAUUAAA
rnacentral:tRNA from 1 species